UGUAAAGAAGCAAUAUGCCCUAAGUUUCGGCCUUAGUAACGAGAAUUAUCUCCUUUAUAA
rnacentral:tRNA from 1 species